GAGGGCCUACGGGACGCAGCAGUGAGGAAUGUUGGUCAAUGGGCGGAAGCCUGAACCAGCCAAGUCGCGUGAGGGAAGAAGGCCCUGCGGGUCGCAGACCUCUUUGGACGGGGAGCAAGGCCGCAGACGUGUCGGCGGAAGGAGAGUACCCGUAGAACAAGCAUCGGCUAACUCCGUGCCAGCAGCCGCGGUAAUAAGGAGGAUGCGAGCGUUAUCCGGAUUUAUUGGGUUUAAAGGGUGCGCAGGCGGCACGGCAAGCCGGCGGGAAAAUCGCG
rnacentral:rRNA from 1 species